rnacentral:lncRNA from 1 species
CAAGACCCUGUCUCAAAAGGGCUGGUAAUGUGGCUCUGGUAGGGCACCCCUGGAUUCAGUCCCACUACCAAAAUAAAUAUUGUCAUGGUUUGCUCUAGUCCCUUUUGUUUGGGAAGAGGAAAACAAGAAUUAAUACAAUACUGUCAUUAGAUUAAUAAUACUGUCAUUUUAUAUAUAGUAUUAUAUAAUAAUACUGUCAUUCAAUAAUACUUAAUAAUACUAUCAUUGAUAUAACAAUGCCUAGAAUUCAGCCAUCAAAUUAGCAAUUGACCUGACCUAUAGUUGUAGAACAAUGUAUCUACUAGGAUGUUCAGUGUUUUGCCUUAGAAGACAUCCUUAGUCUACAUAGGCUGUAAUUUGAGGGCUUGACUGGAGACAUGAAUGACUACUUUCAUACUAAAAGAUAAUAGCAAAUCAGGUUCCUAGGCUCAGAAUAUUGGCCUGCCUCCCUGAUAGAUCCCAGCAUAAUAUGGUCCAUCAUGUAAUCCUUCAGUUUAAAUCCUUGUAACUUAAUGUCAGUAUUUUUGUCCCCACACUGAGGGUAAUUUUGUCCCCUAGGGGACAUCUGGCAAUGUUCAGGAUCAUUUUUGGGGUACACUAAGGGAGGAAGUGCUGCUGGCUUCUAAUGGGUAGAGGGCAGAGGUACCAAACAUACUUAAUAGAUGAGCCCCUCACAACAAAGAACUGUCCAGCCUGAAAUGUGAACAAUGCUGAGAUUAAGAAACUUAAAAUUGAAAGCAUAUCUCUGGAAAUAUUAGAUACUCAGUUACGCUUCACUACUUGUGAGUGUCCUGAAGUUGUGAUUUUAUUAGUUGAAAUCCUAAGAUGUCUUGGGUGUGAGCAUAAGUAGCAAAGUGUGAAUAAAAUAGCAACUGAUCAUAGUGCUCAAGCCUUGGAAUGACCUAUUCCCAGAGAAUACACCAAAGAAUUGUGCUGGAUAAACAUGAACAAGGUUAAACAAAGACUUGGAGAAAAUGUCAGGUGAAUAUGUUCAAGAUGGAAACAAACAAUACAUUGAUCCCUGUAAGCAAACAGGAAGAACAAGGAACUUUCUUGAGUGAACAAAUUUCAGAGGAGGAAAGUCAUGGGACUUAUGAACUAUUCAGUCUGGAACUAACGCAGCGCAGGAAUUCAUGGAAAGCCACCCAAUUUACUCAUUUCAUACCUCUAGGUUUGGCUGAUAGGAAAGAAAUUUUAUUUAUGUGUAUGUGUAUAAAUUUAUAGCUAUAUUCUGUUAGCAAAAAUAAGAUUUUUAAUGAAAAUGAUUAUUUUCUAUAACAAAAUGUAGUAAAAAAUGUAACAAGAAAAGUGACAAUUUUAUCACAUUUUGAAAAAUCUUAUUAUAUCUGGCUUACUACGAGAAAAAUGGAUUCCCAUAUUUGCAUCUACUUUCAAGCUGUUGUAAUAUGUUGUUUCAGUUAAAGUAGAUAAAGAAAGUCUGGCCUCCCACAGAUGUGUGGCUGGAAAAAAGAAUGCCUUAGGACUCUUUAAAAAAAGUUUUUGGGGAGUUCACUUUGAGACCUACUAGAUUAAGUUUUGUGUAUUUAGGUAAUGCUUCAUUUAUUAAUGUUAAAUUUAUUCCUCCACUGAAAAAAUUAUCUGGUGUGUGCGUGUGUGUGUGUAUGUGUGUGUGUUUAUUUAUAUAUUUAUUUUACAACCUUACAGUGGCUCAUCAACUUAGCAAGAUCCUGUCUCAAAAAAUCAAAAAAGGAUGGGAUGUUGCUCAGGGGUGGUAGAACACCCUUGGGUUCAACCCCCAGAACCUUUGGGUUUAACCCCCCGGAAAAAAAAAUUGCACACACAUGUAUAUACUCAAAAAAAUUUGAGAGUAUUUCAUACAUUUUCAAGAUCAUACUGUUGUGUAUGACUGUUAUGCCUCUUACUCUUCCACUGUCUAUUUUGUCUGUAACUACUACA